rnacentral:lncRNA from 1 species
UAGACAGAAGAUCAAAGUAUAAAAGGACAGCAUGACUUGCCUACAGCCACAUAUGAUUUUUUUGGUAGACCUGGGAAUUAAAACUCACUCAUGCCCAACCAAUUCAUACUGAAGAAGAUGGGCCAUUUAAUGUAAUAUUGACUCCUGGGUCUUUCACUGAUCUUUUUUCACAUCUUUCACUGAUGAAAAAUGGAACAAUAGGCUCCAUUCCCUCUGACGACAAAGGCUGUUCUAGCUGCUGACACAGAUUUCUAAGAUGCUGCCAAAGAGGAUGCGGUAGACUGCAGUGAAUACAAGAGGUUAGAGAGAGGAAGACCUAUUUAUUGUGAAAAACUCUACCAACCUUUUUGUGGCUCUGAUGGGAAAACAUAUAACAACAAAUGUUCCUUCUGCAAGGCUGUCCUGAGAAGUAGAGGAGCCUUACAUAUGAAGCAAGAAGGUGCAUGCUGAAUGAAUUCUGUGGGACAGAGAAGAAUGCUGAGAACAGCUUUUCACGGCCUUAUCAUGAUCUCUUAAUUUAAUUUCAUUCACCCUGCCUGUCCUAAUGAUGGCAAACAAAGCUCCAAGUAGACUUUUCAACUGUGUGCUGUCAUUUGUGCUGCCCUCUUAUCCAGAGUGCUGGGAUUGACAGUUCUGUCCUCCAGUUCAGGAUUCUCAUGAGCAUUCCUGUUUCUCUAACAAAUUGGUUUUCACAUGAGCACUUCACUGUAUAUUUGUCUGCAUAAUGAAAGUUAAACCUUCUUACAUUGCCACUUGAUUUUAGUGCAGGCAUUGCCUCAGCUCUCCUCGGUGGUGUUUUCUCUCAUUUACCUAGAAACUUCUGCACGCACUUCUUUUCAAAGGCCUCAGCUUUCCUGGGAAGUGUUUGGACUCUUCCAGUUUUGUAGUUAAAUUUUAAAUUCUCAUUUUUCUUUUAACUU